rnacentral:lncRNA from 1 species
AUGCGGGCACUCGCUGAGGUCACAGUCGGUGCCAGGGUGGGAGCGUUUGUGCCACAGCUGGUGAGCAGAGCUGGUGCUCUGGUGAGCGUGCUGCACGCAGAGACUGAGCUCUGUGCUUUUCUUGAGAGAGAUCACCCUGUGAGAGCCCACUGGAAGCAGCGCUGCGGCGUGUGUGUGAGCUGGGCACAGCUCGGGCUGAGCAGUGACCAGGGACAGAGCCUGCGCGUCCGUGGAAUGGUGCUGGGCAUGGGGGGAAACGGAAAGCCUCUGCAGGUAAGAAGCUCUUGUGAGCUGUGGUGUGGGUACCUGCCUCUAAACAGGGCUGCACGAGGGGCAGCGUGUGAUGGAGGAGAGAAGAAAGGGCACUGCAGUUCUGUGCUGACUGCAGAAGUGGCACAAGGCUGUAGCAGCAGAAGGGCCAAUUGAAGAAACUACACUUGAGGACCAGAAGUUUGUGGCUGACUGUGCUGAAGUCUUUCUCCAAGGAGAUGCUCUUCAUGUCUUCCUUGUUUUCUUUCUGUCAGAAGCUGAUGCCAGUGGCCUUCCUCUGAAGCGCAGCCAUGUGGAAAGGCAGAGGAGGAGCACCGAGUGUGACAUGGCACCCAAGAGAGGUAUACAGACACACAACAGGCAUUGGGGUUUGGUGCACUGGCUUUCUAGUUAGGCUUUCUGUCUGUCCCUUCCUGGGACUGUUGUCGUAGCGUGUUGGUUGUGGUCCUAAUCACAGUUAGCAUUCCUGCACUGAUUAGAAAUGUGAACCCACAGUUCACCCGGGAUCCUAAGAUCCAUGACCGUGAACACUCCAGAUGAGAUGUCCUAGCAUUGUGGCCCAUUUUGCAGAUGAAAGUAGCGUUGGGCUCUUGCUAAAUCUUGUUGCUUCUCCUUUCUAACAGAGAUUGGUGCUGAGCCAAAUGGCAAUAUCUGUGUGAAAGUGGUGCAGCAGGUGUGUUCUGAGA